rnacentral:rRNA from 1 species
AACGAACGCUGGCGGCAUGCCUAACACAUGCAAGUCGAACGAUGCCUUCGGGCAUAGUGGCGCACGGGUGCGUAACGCGUGGGAAUCUGCCUUUCGGUUCGGAAUAACUCAGGGAAACUUGAGCUAAUACCGGAUAACGUCGCAAGACCAAAGAUUUAUCACCGAAAGAUGAGCCCGCGUAGGAUUAGCUAGUUGGUAAGGUAAAGGCUCACCAAGGCGACGAUCCUUAGCUGGUCUGAGAGGAUGAUCAGCCACACUGGGACUGAGACACGGCCCAGACUCCUACGGGAGGCAGCAGUGGGGAAUAUUGGACAAUGGGCGAAAGCCUGAUCCAGCAAUGCCGCGUGAGUGAUGAAGGCCUUAGGGUUGUAAAGCUCUUUUACCCGGGAAGAUAAUGACGGUACCGGGAGAAUAAGCCCCGGCUAACUCCGUG